UACGUAGGGUGCGAACGUUGUUCGGAAUCACUGGGCAUAAAGCGCGUGUAGGCGGUCUGACAAGUCUGGUGUGAAAUCCCUUGGCUUAACCAAGGCAUUGCACUUGAUACUGUCGGGCUUGAGUACGGGAGGGGAGAGCGGAAUUCCUGGUGGAGCGGUGAAAUGCGUAGAUAUCAGGAGGAACGCCGGCGGCGAAAGCGGCUCUCUGGUCCGUUACUGACGCUGAGGCGCGAAAGCUAGGGGAGCAAACGGG
rnacentral:rRNA from 1 species